rnacentral:rRNA from 1 species
AACGAACGCUGGCGGCGUGCUUAACACAUGCAAGUCGAACGCGAAAGGGGCUUCGGCCCCGAGUAGAGUGGCAGACGGGUGAGUAACACGUGGGUAAUUUGUCCUUGGGUGUGGAAUAACUUUCCGAAAGGGAGGCUAAUACCGCAUAAGACCACGUCCCUUCGGGGAUGCGGUAAAAGAUUUCGGUUGCCUAAGGAGGAGCCCGCGGCCGAUUAGCUAGUUGGUGAGGUAAUGGCUCACCAAGGCAUCGAUCGGUAGCUGGUCUGAGAGGAUGAUCAGCCACACUGGUACUUAGACACGGACCAGACUCCUACGGGAGGCAGCAGUGGGGAAUAUUGCGCAAUGGGCGAAAGCCUGACGCAGCAACGCCGCGUGGGUGAUGAAGGCCUUUGGGUCGUAAAGCCCUGUCAGAUGGGAAGAAACCUGGAAACAGCUGACGGUACCAUCAAAGGAAGCACCGGCUAACUCCGUGCCAGCAGCCGCCGUAAGAC